rnacentral:sRNA from 1 species
GUCGGGUUCGGGAUGAACCGGUUGACCCGGCCUCCCAUGAGCAUCUGGACGCGCUUGCCGGUCUGCACGACCUGAACCCCGCGGUGGGCGAACUG